GACGAACGCUGGCGGCGUGCUUAACACAUGCGAGUCGAACGGAAAGGCCCUGCUUUUGUGGGGUGCUCGAGUGGCGAACGGGUGAGUAACACGUGAGUAACCUGCCCUUGACUUUGGGAUAACUUCAGGAAACUGGGGCUAAUACCGGAUAGGAGCUCCUGCUGCAUGGCGGGGGUUGGAAAGUUUCGGCGGUUGGGGAUGGACUCGCGGCUUAUCAGCUUGUUGGUGGGGUAGUGGCUUACCAAGGCUUUGACGGGUAGCCGGCCUGAGAGGGUGACCGGCCACAUUGGGACUGAGAUACGGCCCAGACUCCUACGGGAGGCAGCAGUGGGGAAUAUUGCACAAUGGGCGGAAGCCUGAUGCAGCAACGCCGCGUGCGGGAUGACGGCCUUCGGGUUGUAAACCGCUUUCGCCUGUGACGAAGCGUGAGUGACGGUAAUGGGUAAAGAAGCACCGGCUAACUACGUG
rnacentral:rRNA from 1 species